rnacentral:lncRNA from 1 species
UUUUAUGAAAUGCUAUUGCAUACUUAAUAGACUACAGUAUAAUGUAAACCAAAAAAUUGAUGCGACUCUCUUUAUUGCAAUACUCGCUUUAUUAUGGUGGUCUGGAACGGAACCUGCAGUUAUCUCCAAGGCAUGCCUGUAAUUCAGUCCUUCAUUUUACAUAUGAGGGGAAUAUAUGUCACUUAAUAUAACCCCAUUUAGUUUACAUGUUAGGAAACUCUACAAUAAUAAUCUGUAGUAAAGUAUGUUCUGUGGGAAAUACAGGAUUAAGCAAAAUUAAACCACUUUCUUCUCAGGGCAUCUUGGACUCCAUUGUAUAGUUAAUUCUUACUAAGUGACUUAUGUGGAUUUCUCCACUGUUUACCUCACGUAACAUGAAGAUAUGGGAGUAGAAGCUAUUGAAAUGGUAUUAUUGUCUAUUCUGUUUACAGGACUGGAAGCAACCCCAAAAUUAGACGCAACAAAAUCUGGGGAGGACAGAAUGGUGGAAUUCUAGUUUAUAAUUCUGGUCUAGGCUGUAUAGAAGACAAUGAAAUAUUUGACAAUGCAAUGGCUGGAGUCUGGAUUAAGACAGAUAGUAAUCCUACACUAAGAAGAAAUAAAAUCCAUGAUGGAAGAGAUGGUGGCAUCUGUAUAUUUAAUGGGGGUCGAGGUCUCCUUGAAGAAAAUGAUAUUUUCAGGAAUGCUCAAGCAGGUGUUCUCAUCAGCACUAAUAGUCAUCCAAUCUUAAGGAAAAACAGAAUAUUUGAUGGAUUUGCCGCAGGUAUUGAAAUUACAAAUCACGCAACUGCAACACUAGAAGGCAAUCAGAUUUUUAACAACCGGUUUGGAGGCUUAUUUUUAGCAUCUGGUGUUAAUGUGACAAUGAAAGAUAACAAAAUAAUGAACAAUCAAGAUGCCAUAGAAAA